rnacentral:rRNA from 1 species
UGGUCAAUGGGCGUAAGCCUGAACCAGCCAAGUCGCGUGAGGGAUGAAGGUUCUAUGGAUCGUAAACCUCUUUUAUAAGGGAAUAAAGUGCGGGACGUGUCCUGUUUUGUAUGUACCUUAUGAAUAAGGAUCGGCUAACUCCGUGCCAGCAGCCGCGGUAAUACGGAGGAUCCGAGCGUUAUCCGGAUUUAUUGGGUUUAAAGGGUGCGUAGGCGGCCUUUUAAGUCAGCGGUGAAAGUCUGUGGCUCAACCAUAGAAUUGCCGUUGAAACUGGGGGGCUUGAGUAUGUUUGAGGCAGGCGGAAUGCGUGGUGUAGCGGUGAAAUGCUUAGAUAUCACGCAGAACCCCGAUUGCGAAGGCAGCCUGCCAAGCCAUGACUGACGCUGAUGCACGAAAGCGUGGGGAUCAAACAGGAUUAGAUACCCUGGUAGUCCACGCAGUAAACGAUGAUCACUAGCUGUUUGCGAUACAGUGUAAGCGGCACAGCGAAAGCGUUAAGUGAUCCACCUGGGGAGUACGCCGGCAACGGUGAAACUCAAAGGAAUUGACGGGGGCCCGCACAAGCGGAGGAACAUGUGGUUUAAUUCGAUGAUACGCGAGGAACCUUACCCGGGUUUGAACGCAUUUUGACAGCUCUGGAAACAGAGCCUCUAGCAAUAGCGAUUUGCGAGGUGCUGCAUGGUUGUCGUCAGCUCGUGCCGUGAGGUGUCGGCUUAAGUGCCAUAACGAGCGCAACCCUUGCCACUAGUUACUAACAGGUAAAGCUGAGGACUCUGGUGGGACUGCCAGCGUAAGCUGCGAGGAAGGCGGGGAUGACGUCAAAUCAGCACGGCCCUUACAUCCGGGGCGACACACGUGUUACAAUGGCGUGGACAAAGGGAGGCCACCUGGCGACAGGGAGCGAAUCCCCAAACCACGUCUCAGUUCGGAUCGGAGUCUGCAACCCGACUCCGUGAAGCUGGAUUCGCUAGUAAUCGCGCAUCAGCCAUGGC